CUCCUGUCCUUACGCAGGAGGUCUCUAUCAAUGACGUUCACACGGAGGUAGAGCAAUUGCUAGUUUGGAAAUCCAAACCAUUGCAUUAAAUUAGUCCUAUGUCUUCCGUGACACAAGGCCAUUU